rnacentral:rRNA from 1 species
GAAUGUUACUUCACAACCAAGGUGAGGAAUGGGCAGAAAGCAGGAGCAGCAGCAGUUCUUCUUGUUGAUCAAAUAAUUCAAACAUUAUUUACAACAGACAAAUCAGAAAGCAGACAGGCAACAAAUGAUUUACAGGAUAUCACCAUUCCUUCAGCACUUAUAACCAGAAGCCUUGGGAACAAUCUCAAGAAAGCAAUUGAUAAUGGCGAUUUGGUUAAUGUAAACUUCAACUGGGGGAAGUCCCGAUUGUACCCUGAUGAGCGUGCUGAGUAUGAACUCUGGACAAACAGUAAUGAUGAAUGUGGUCCAAAAUAUGAUAGCCAGGUUGAUUUCCUGAAGAGAUUUAAAGGUGUAGCCCAGACACUUGAGAAAGGCUACACACAGUUCACUCCUCAUUACAUUACUUGGCAUUGCCCAGAGAGUUACCAAAAUAGCAUAAGGUGCAGGUCCCAAUGUAUCAACUAUGGGAGAUAUUGUGCACCAGACCCGGAACAAGAUAGGUAUGAUGGGAGCGAUGUAGUGGUUCAGAAAUUACAUCAACUUUGUGUGUUCAAAGUUGCAAAGAGGACUGGGAAGCCUUGGUUAUGGUGGGACUAUGUGACUCAUUUUGCUAUUAGGUGCUCAGUGAAGGAAAUGAACUACAGUAGAAGAUGUGCUGACAGAGUAAUCGAAUCACUUGGCCUUAAUCAAAAAGAGGUUGACAUAUGUGUUGGUGAUCCUUCCGCGGACGAGGAAAAUCCUGCACUAAAAGCUGAACAAGACACACAGAUUGGCAAGGGUUCUCAUAGUGAUAUUACUAUGUUACCAACACUUGUAAUCAACAAUAGACAAUACAGAAGGAAACUUGAAAAAGGAACAGUUCUUAGAGCUCCCUGCACCAGCUUCCAAGAAAAUAAUAAACCAUCUGUUUGCUCAAAUGAAGACAUACAAACCAAUCAAUGCUUGGACAACAAUGGCGGUUGUUGGCAAGAUACGGCUGCUAACGUGACUGCGUGCAAGGACACCUCCACUGGAACAGUUUGUGAAUGUCCAGUUUUGCAAGGUGUGAAGUACAUUGGUGAUGGUUACAACGACUGCGAAGGUACACUAAUAAUUUUCUAUAUUUAUCUUUUGAUAGCUUUUGUUUGUUCUUUUGAAGUAAUGUGCAGAAGAUACUCAUUUCUCUGUGGCAAACAUAGGUACCUAGACAAUCUGCCCAUCUUCCUGUCCAUAGUUCCUUUUAUAGAAAAGAACAGGGGAAACACGCAGUUAAGUUAA